rnacentral:lncRNA from 1 species
AUGCUGAAAGCAAGAAGAAAAAGAAAAGAAUCAAGGAAGAAGGGGACAAAGAUAAGAAUGACAAGAGCCGUAAAAGAAAAAGGAAGGCCGAGCGGAGUUACAGAGACUCCUCUUCAGAGUCGUUUGCAGAAUCUGAGGGGGAAGAGGCCAAGAAGAAAAAGAGAAGUAGCGAGGAAAAGGAGAGAAUCACAGACACAUCCAAGAAGAAGAGGAAAAAGAAGCACAAGAAACACGGCAGAAAAAAGAAAAAGAAGGCAGCAUCUCAGUCCGACUUGGAGCUCGACUAAGAACCGUAGCUGUACGGUUCUCUCAUCCUUCUGA